GGGAAGCACUCCCCAAGAUGAGAUCUCCCAACCCGUAAGGGAUAAGAAGGGCCCAGGAAGACUACCUGGUUGAUAGGCAGGAAGUGGAAGCGCAGUAAUGCGUGUAGCUUACCUGUACUAAUCGCCCGUUCGGCUUGACCAUAAAA
rnacentral:rRNA from 1 species